rnacentral:lncRNA from 1 species
GUCAGAUUACUGUGUUUGAUAUAUUUUUUGAAUGACAAUUCAGAUUGCCUUGGUAAUUCAGAUUAACUCUCAAGAGGUAAUCUAGAUUGCUUUAAGGAGAGGUGGCUAUCCAGAUUAUCACUUAUUUGGUAAUGUUGCAAAAAAAAUUUGGACAAAACUAUCCCUCAAAGAAAUCACACAAAAUCCAUCUCUCCACCCCC